GUGCUCACUUUGGCAGCACCUAGGAAUAGUACAGAGAAGAUUAGCAUGGCCCCUGCACAAGGAUGACAUGCAAAUUCGUGAAGCGUUCCAUAUUUUU
ensembl:snRNA U6 U6 spliceosomal RNA